AGUGAACGCUGGCGGUAGGCCUAACACGUGCAAGUCGAACGGCAGCACAGAGGAGCUUGCUCCUUGGGUGGCGAGUGGCGGACGGGUGAGGAGCACAUCGGAAUCUACUCUGUCGUGGGGGAUAACCAAGGGAAACUUUGGCUAAUACCGCAUAAUCUCGAGAGAGCAAAGCUGCCCGCAAGGGUGGCACUUGAGGAGGAGCCUGCGUCCGAUUAGCUAGUUGGUGGGGUAAUGGCCUACCAAGGCGAUGAUCGGUAACUGGUCUGAUAGGACGACCAGUCACACUGGGACUGAGACACGGCCCAGACUCCUACGGGGGGCAGCAGUGGGGAGUAUUAGACAAUGGGGGCAACCCUGAUCCAGCGAUGCCGCGUGAGUGAAGAAGGCCUUCGGGUCGUAAGCUCUUUAGGUUGGGAAGAAGGGUAUUGGCUGAAUAAUCCAGUACUUUGACGGUACCGACAGAAUAAGCACCGGCAAACUCUGUGCCAGCCGCCGCAGUAA
rnacentral:rRNA from 1 species